UCUCAACUUCCAUAUGAUUUCACUACCUCCUAUCUCUUGUGAUCUUCCCCGAUCACCAGCCCUCUCCUCUGUCUCAUCCACCAUGGCGCAGCUAUGUGGAUCGGGAUUACUGCUGGAGCAGCGAGAAGGAUGUGGAGGACGGCCACGAAGAUGUGGGACACGGCAAUGUCAUGGUCACUGGUGAGGUCGUAAGCGAGGAGGUCCCGAAUUAUUCCAUCCCUGAUGGUGGACCUGACCACCAUCGGAGCACCAUC
rnacentral:lncRNA from 1 species